rnacentral:rRNA from 1 species
UACGUAGGGGGCAAGCGUUAUCCGGAUUUACUGGGUGUAAAGGGAGCGUAGACGGCUGUGCAAGUCUGAAGUGAAAGCCCGUGGCUCAACCGCGGAACUGCUUUGGAAACUGUAUAGCUUGAGUACUGGAGAGGCAGGCGGAAUUCCUAGUGUAGCGGUGAAAUGCGUAGAUAUUAGGAGGAACACCAGUGGCGAAGGCGGCCGCCUGGCCUGUUGCUGACGCUGAGGCACGAAAGCGUGGGGAGCAAAUAGG